rnacentral:rRNA from 1 species
AGGUCCCAAGGGUUGGGCUGUUCGCCCAUUAAAGUGGUACGCGAGCUGGGUUCAGAACGUCGUGAGACAGUUCGGUCCCUAUCCGUCGCAGGCGUAGGAAAUUUGAGAAGACCUGUCCUUAGUACGAGAGGACCGGGAUGGACGUACCUCUGGUGUACCAGUUGUCCUGCCAAGGGCAUGGCUGGGUAGCUAUGUACGGAAUGGAUAAGCGCUGAAAGCAUCUAAGCGCGAAGCCAACUUCAAGAUAAGAUUUCCCACCGCAAGGGUAAGACCCCAGAAAGACUAUCUGGUUGAUAGGUCGAAGGUGUAAGUGCAGCAAUGUAUUUAGCUUAUCGAUACUAAUAGGUCGAGGACUUGACCAAU